rnacentral:rRNA from 1 species
UGGGGAAUAUUGGACAAUGGGCGAAAGCCUGAUCCAGCCAUGCCGUGUGUGUGAAGAAGGUCUUCGGAUUGUAAAGCACUUUAAGUUGGGGGGAAGGGCCAUUACCUAAUACGUGAUGGUUUUGACGUUACCGACAGAAUAAGCACCGGCUAACUCUGUG